UCCGCCGGCGAGUGGCGAACGGGUGAGUAAAGUAUCGGAACGUACCUUUCAGUGGGGGAUAACGUAGCGAAAGUUACGCUAAUACCGCAUAUUCUGUGAGCAGGAAAGCAGGGGAUCGCAAGACCUUGCGCUGAUUGAGCGGCCGAUAUCAGAUUAGCUAGUUGGUGGGGUAAAGGCCUACCAAGGCGACGAUCUGUAGCGGGUCUGAGAGGAUGAUCCGCCACACUGGAACUGAGACACGGUCCAG
rnacentral:rRNA from 1 species